UGUGAUGUAGGACCUCAGGUCGAAGUUGGUCACCGCGUUCACGCCUUUGUACUCUAUCGCCGCGAUGUCGUAUGCGCGGGCGGCUUCUUCUUGAGUGCCUGGAUCGGAGCAGGUUUAUUUUUUGUAAUCUACUGUCAGUGAUGAUGAUGAUGAUGAUGAUGAUGUUUGGAUGAGAAAGUUGUGUUCUUUGUUUUUGUUAGAGACCAAGGUAAAGAUUGUGCUUACUGUAAGUUCCUAGGUAAAGGUACUUGUUCCCAAAAACGCGCCCAAUUCUUGCCUCCCACCUCCCGUUCUGAUGAUGUCUGAAUGGAACAUUUGUGCAUUGUCUGAUGAAACUUUGGGGCUAUGAAUUUAUGGUGACAUUGAAUCAUUUUGUUUUUGCUGUCAGAAAUAUACCUGGCAACGCCUCUGUACUUGGACACUCCUCUUGAAAAACCACUGCUCUUCCUGUGGUAAGGGCAAUAUGCACCUCCUCAGUGAUGCAAGGUACUCUUCCUUUGUGAGGUUCUCCAUUAUCUUGAGCUCCUUCUCGUAGUCCAUGACCUGAGACACAUACUCAACCAGGUCACUAGCACUGUCAUAUAUACGCAGGACAGUGAAGAAGACGUUCCAAGGCUAUACCGGGAAGUUCGUGUAGGUGGUGGGCCCCCAGUACUUGAGAGCAGCAAGGUCGUAGGCUCUGGCAGCAGCCUCCUCCUCAUCGUAAGCUCCCAG